GAGAGGAGUGGCCCGGAGAUGGGUACUGAGACACGGACCCAGGCCCUAUGGGGCGCAGCAGGCGAGAAAACUUUGCAAUGUGCGAAAGCACGACAAGGUUAAUCCGAGUGGUUUCUGCUAAAGGAACCUUUUGUACAGUCCUAGAAACACUGUUGAAUAAGGGGUGGGCAAGUUCUGGUGUCAGCCGCCGCGGUAAAACCAGCACCUCAAGUGGUCAGGAUGAUUAUUGGGCCUAAAGCAUCCGUAGCCGGCUCUGUAAGUUUUCGGUUAAAUCUGUACGCUCAACGUACAGGCUGCCGGGAAUACUGCAGAGCUAGGGAGUGGGAGAGGUAGACGGUACUCGGGAGGAAGUGGUAAAAUGCUUUGAUCUUUCGAUGACCACCUGUGGCGAAGGCGGUCUACCAGAACACGUCCGACGGUGAGGGAUGAAAGCUGGGGGAGCAAACCGGAUUAGAUACCCGGGUAGUCCCAGCUGUAAACUAUGCAAACUCAGUGAUGCAUUGGCUUGUGGCCNAUGCNGUGUUGCNGGGAAGCCGUUAAGUUUGCCGCCUGGGAAGUACGUACGCNAGUAUGAAACUUAAAGGAAUUGGCGGGGGAGC
rnacentral:rRNA from 1 species